rnacentral:rRNA from 1 species
GACAGAGGGUGCAAACGUUGUUCGGAAUUAUUGGGCGUAAAGAGCUCGUAGGUGGCCUGUCGCGUCGGCUGUGAAAACUCGGGGCUCAACUCCGAGCUUGCAGUCGAUACGGGCAGGCUAGAGUUCGGCAGGGGAGACUGGAAUUCCUGGUGUAGCGGUGAAAUGCGCAGAUAUCAGGAGGAACACCGGUGGCGAAGGCGGGUCUCUGGGCCGAUACUGACACUGAGGAGCGAAAGCGUGGGGAGCGAACAGG